rnacentral:rRNA from 1 species
CUAAAGAAUAUUCCGCAAUGGGGGAAACCCUGACGGAGCGACGCCGCGUGGAUGAUGAAGGCCGGAAGGUUGUAAAAUCCUUUUGUGAGUGAGGAAUAAGCAGGGCAAGCAAAGGCCGUGCGGUGACUGUAGCUCAUGAAUAAGCACCGGCUAAUUACGUGCCAGCAGCCGCGGUAACACGUAAGGUGCGAGCGUUGUUCGGAAUCAUUGGACGUAAAGGGCAUGUAGGCGGAACUGCAAGCCCGGUGUGAAAACCCUGAGCUCAACUCAGGAACUGCGCCGGGAACUGCAGAACUGGAGUCACU